rnacentral:rRNA from 1 species
AUAUUAUUAAGCCGAGGAAAAGAAACUAACAAGGAUGCCCUCAGUAACGGCGAGUGAAGCGGGCAAAGCUCAACCUGAAAAUCGGGUUCCUUAACGGGAUCUCGAAUUGUGGGCUAUAGACGCGUGAUCAGUGUGUGACCCAGGCAUAAAUCUCUUUGAAACGAGGUAUCAUAGAGGGUGAGAAUCCCGUCUGUGGCUUGGAGCUAUUCGCCGCGUACGAUCCGCGUUCGCAGAGUCGCGUUGUUUGGGAUUGCAGCGCUAAAUGGGUGGUAAAUUUCAUCUAAAGCUAAAUAUCGACGAGAGACCGAUAGCGAACAAGUACCGUGAGGGAAAGAUGAAAAGAACUUUGAAAAGAGAGUUAAAAAGUACUUGAAAUUGCUAAGAAGGAAGCUUUGGAAACCAGUGUUAAUGAAUUCGCGUGUAUAUUUACCAUUCGUUUGUUUUUUAUCGUUUUUGUUACGAGCCCAAAGCCGUACGGAGAUGAUAUUAAAGAUAAGUGAGUGUUCCCUGUACUGCGAAUUUCGGUCCGAAUCAAUUUAAUUCGUGAGAGAAAGCUAUCAUAACGGUAGGACAGCGAGGGCAACUUCAAUGUCUGUUUAGUAUGGUAGUGCUAUCAUGGGAUAGAUUGA